rfam:Culex pipiens quinquefasciatus supercont3.124 genomic scaffold, whole genome shotgun sequence.
GGUUCCAUAGUGUAGUGGUUAUCACGUCUGCUUUACACGCAGAAGGUCUCCAGUUCGAACCUGGAUGGAACCA